UUAUCUCAACUCACCGGCUUCACUUUCCCGUUUCUCUCCCCCAUCCCAGAGAGGGAGGGGGGAGGGUGAGCGAACGGCUGUGUGGUGUUUAGCUGCCAGCCGGGUUAAACCACAACAUUGUGCCUUUUCUAUAGCAGAAGGAUCUCUUCCUAGUUUAGAAAUGUUCAAAACUUGUGCAUAAAACACAAUCUCUCUACAUAGUAAUUGCAUUCCUUUCUUCAGAUAACAUGAAUGUUACUAUGCUGUUCAAUAACUAAAGUAAUAUGCAACAGCAUUUCUUUAUUACCUUUUGUCUUGAGCUAGUAAUGCACUGACUUUGGUUUCACUUGAUCACAUCCACAGACAACCUUUGGAAAUUUUUGAGUCAGGAAACAGAGAAGCUGGUGCAGUAUUUUGGUCUCUUCCCAUAUAUGAGCUUGGGAAGCCAAUUGAAGAGAGCAUGCAGCACAGUCUUCAGUGGAACAAAGCUGAGAUGUCCAGUCUAUCUAGACGGACGGUGGAGACAGAGCUCAGUGGAGAACAAGAUCAAGACAAACAAACAUAAUGUCCAUCUUAAGACAAGUGGAUUAGCAGGUUCCUUAUUUAUUUUUUUUCUGUUAUUUUCUAUUAUAUCCAUUUCAUUAUUAAAGAACAUACAGAAAUCAAAUCUGCCCCAGUCCUUCAUGCAGGGAAAAAAAUUCUAAUAAUGCCAGUGUAUGACUAUUAACAAGAUACUCACAGAAAAGUCCAUCUCACUCUACUUCUUGAUGGUUGAUAACAAUGAAAUGCAACUUCUUAUGAUUAACUGCUUUAAAGAUUAAGGGCCAUAUAUCUGCAAAAAUACUUGUGUUGCUAGCCAUACAGACGUCUCUGAAGAAUAAAAAAUAUCUGGGAUGGAACUAAUUUUCUUCA
rnacentral:lncRNA from 1 species